CCUGUCUAUCGGGACCUGCGGGCAUGAAAUGCAGCAUCCCCAAGCAAAAGGGACGUCAGUACGAAUAAAGUAUCGAGUAUGUAAGGCAGGAAAGAAUAAACAAGAAUAGUAAUGUAAAGAGAGGUAGAGGAGAUACAACCUAUAACAUCUGAGUGCCUCUGGGGGAUAAUGACAUGAAAUUCAUAAUACAUAUAUAUACAUAAACUUUUAAAAGCAUACACCUCUGUGGGCAUCAUCAUCAUCAUAUCGUACCCGACCUCAAAGAGUGUCACACCUCCUUUUUACUACCUCCGUAAGGGUAUAAGGGAGUUUUUUCCAAUUUAAGUGAUAAUCGAAAUAGGAUUAUUAUUUAAAAAUAAGAGUCACCACUUGAGAUAAUUUAUGGUGUCCCAAGUCACCGAUUAAAAUCUCGAAUCGAGGAAGUUGACUCUAUUUACGGUCUGCGAACACAGAAAUCUGGGUAAGGAAUUCUACUAACCCAGGAGAAGGUGUUAGGCAUUCCCGAGUUCUGUGGUUCUAGAACGGUCGCUCUGAUCAUACUUGGCUUAAUCAAAUUGUCUAAUUACUCAUUUUUAGAACCAAUGUGCAUUUGCCUCUUUUAAUUAAAAAUUAUCUUGAAACGGGUCGCGUGUACGUGUACCCAUUUGUUUGGUGCGUCAAAAAUCAUGUCACGCGAACAUGUCCAUAAUUAAUAAUGCUUUAUUAUUAUUAAGAAAAUUUGGCCGAAGUUGCGUGAACGCAUACUCCGGUUUUGUUUUUAGAAAUCGUAAUCAUGUCACGCAAACGUGUCCACAACCACGAUAGUAUAUUAAAAGUGCCUAAAGCAAACUAUGAACAUUUGUCAUUUUUAUAUCUAAAUUAAUACGAGGGCCAUGAAUGAUUAAAAGGUGGAUGGCAUAUCUCAGACUAUAUGAACUAAAUUUAAUUAAUGGCCCAUUAGCACCCAUUUUUAUUAUUAAGAAAGUUUGUUCGAAGUUGCGCGAACGCACACUCUGAGUUGGUUUUUAGAAUCAUAAUUAUGUUACGCGAACGUAUACAUAAUCACAAUAUUAUUUUAAACCUGCCUAAAGGCCUUUCUACGAAUGUUCAUUCUUAAUAAAAAAUGUGACAUUUGUGAGGGCCAUGGUGGUAUAAUUAAAUGGCACGCCUCACUCUAUUUUUAAAGAGUCAUAUUUAAACUGGGCUUAAGGAUGCUUGCAUUUGCAAUUGAUUUGAACUUAAAGGGGGCUAUUAGUCAUAAACAGAUUGGACAGUGGGUUAUUUUAAUGAAAUGGACCAACCUGCUAGUCCCUUGGGCCGUUAAAGUCGAAAGGACAUAACUACUGAAGAAAAAUGUCAGGGGCCUUGGGCCUGGAAAAUGAAUCUAAAAUUGAAAGGGAAGGGCCUGAGACAUGCGAGCCUAGCUUGGGCCCAACAACAUCGCUUGGGCCAUUUAAUAGGCCUGGCCAAUCCAAGGGGUGUCGUUCAGCAUUUCCUAUUUUUGACUACUUUGCUCUGCAAACCUUUAACUGAUUGAUAUGUCAAUGCGUAAUUCAAACACUACUCUAAACUAAUCAAAGCCAACUUCAUCAAAGCAAAUAAAAACUGUGCAACAUUUAACUUAGAAUCAAAUUACAGGAAAGUUUAAACAUUGUAUAUUCAACAAACUGCAGGCUAUAUGCAUUUAAAACUGUAGCUACUACUAUCUACUGCUGAACUCAACAAUAGCUCUUAAACAACUUCAGAUACUCAGAGUCAAAAGCUAAACAAUGAAAUCUUAACGUGAAUUUAAUCAUGGACUAAACAUCAUUACUAACCUAAGCAAAUUUAAAUAAAUUCCAACAAGAGAUGUCCCCAAACCCCUACUACAACAGCCCAGGCAUUAUAUAUUCAACAGGGAAAGUUUUAGCCAAACCAAUAUCGACACGACAAGUUAAAGUCCAAAUACAACCCUAACAUGGAAUGUAUUAUCAACAGCAUGAAUGAAUACAGGGUUAAAUUACAGGGAAAAUUAUUGAAGUGCAGAAAAACAUGGACAAAUUCUAAAAAAAACAUAAGCUGAUACUCAACAGAAACUAAUAUUCAAAUCCCCAACUUCGAUUACAUGCUUCAAGUUUGAGCUUCAACAUAUGAGUAAGGUCCAAUAGGUACCUGGAGGUAAAGAUAAAGCAAAAGAGUGAGGAUUUCAGCAGUAACAGUAGCUCAACAGAUCAACACAACAAUAUUCAGCUUUUCUAAACCAUUUUAAACCCAGAUGAACAGAAAUUCCUUGAAGUUUUUAAAUUCUGACUGACAAUGAAGACCAAUGACAAAACCAAAACAAAUCUCAACCAAAAGAUGCAGGAACUUUUUAGUAUUUUUCAGAGUAUGAAUGGAUGCUUUAAAAUGAAAGAAGAGGGCUCUUAUAUAGGCACUCCUAAGGCAGCCCUAGCCUAGUUAACCAAUUCUCCUUCUACCCC
rnacentral:lncRNA from 1 species